rnacentral:Y_RNA from 1 species
GGCUGGUCUGAGUGCAGGGGUGUUUACAACAAAAUACAUCACAACCACUUACGGAUUUCUUUGUUCCUUCACUCCCACUGCUUCACUUGCCUAGCCUUAA